CAGUCGCCACGGGAAUACGGAGGGGGCUAGCGUUGUUCGGAAUUACUGGGCGUAAAGCGCACGUAGGCGGCUUGGUAAGUUAGAGGUGAAAGCCUGGAGCUCAACUCCAGAAUUGCCUUUAAGACUGCCGAGCUAGCAGGUGAGAGAGGUAAGUGGAAUUCCGAGUGUAGAGGUGAAAUUCGUAGAUAUUCGGAAGAACACCAGUGGCGAAGGCGGCUUACUGGCUCAUACUGGACGCUGAGGUGCGAAAGCGUGGGGAGCAAACAGGAUUAGAUACCCCUGUAGUCCCUGUCUCUUAUAU
rnacentral:rRNA from 1 species